rnacentral:misc_RNA from 1 species
GAAAUGCGAUACGUAAUGCGAAUUGCAGAAUUCAGUGAAUCAUCGAAUCUUUGAACGCAAAUUGCGCUCCCGGGUUACCCCCGAGAGCACACCUCUCUGAGUGUCGGUUUAACCAAAUGUCACCAAUUUAUUGGUGUACGACAGACUGAGGGUAAGGAGUCUCGGCUUCUUUCCCUUUAAAUCUCAGCCGCACGACUUGUGUGUUCGUGGCAAGUUGCUCACUUAGUUGUGAAUACAAUCCACCGACCCCUGUUGCGCAGCCCAAAGAAACAAAUGAACAAAGUGUGAACCUUCGGGUGAACGCUUUGUGCAUCUAUGAAUUAGACCUCAGAUGAAGUGGGAAAACCCCCUGAAUUUAA